CCUAUGUGCAGUACUUUAUUUCACUCCGUGUUCUUCAGCUCCCUCACUUGAGGCGUCUCUCCAAUGUCUGUCUUUGCUCUGCUGCAGCAGCUGCACAGCGUCCGAUGAAGAAUCCUAACGGCGGUGUCCUGGACCAACAACCUGUUCGUGUGCCCGCGUGAGGGCCUUUUUAGGUGGGGAGAGAAAGGGAGUCCCAUCUCCUCAGUUGCUGACCAGCGCAUGCCUGUGCUUUGUGCCCAGCAAGGCUGUGUUCCCUUGAGAUUACUCGCAACCUGGGGCCUUUGGCCAAGGCUAAACUCAUCUAACAGCUACUUGCAAACCUGUUGACCGUUCCAGCCGAAAAACCUGUGGAAAGCAGUGGAGCUGCUAGCAUGCAUCCUAUGAGCUUGUGUAGAAGGCUGACAUCCCGUCUUGCUCCUAUCAGUCUUAUCAGUGAUAUCCCACCAGCUCCUGGGAAUUCAGCACCAUGUUUGGCUCCCAAGCCUCCUGAGCCCUUCAUUUCCAAGCUGCAGAACCUCCCUCACAUCCACCUAAAAUCAGGUUUAUUUUGGGAGAAGAAAGUAAUGCUCACAGGCAUCACAGCACCAGCUUCUGGAGAGCCAAAUCAUUUCCACGGCUCCUGUUACCUCUUUGAGAGGAGCAAGAAGGAGGAGGAUUGCUGCGGGGAGAGAAACCCAUGGAACUGGAGCGUAACAGAGGAAGAAGGACAAGCUGAGGAGAAAUAACAGAGAGGGAGAACUCUGAGUUUGUGGCCAUCAGAGCAAAGCACAAAAAGGUACGGCAGCGUGACUGUGGGACUAUGAAUCCUUCGCCUUGUCAGGCUGGCUGUGAAAUUACUGUUGGCAUAGUUUGCGCCGGUGUCCAAAUACUGUUAUUUGACCCUCGCUCCCUAAAGGUGGAGGGGGUCGUUAGAAAGCUCCAAAAAAUCUGGGGGUUGACAGCCAGAUUAAGCCAGAUUUAGGAGGACAGCUCUCCCAAGAGCCCAGCCUUGGACAGUGAAGGGGGGGUCGACGCCGCUCUGGGGGGGAGCCGGCUCGGGCAGGAGGCCGAGCGUCGCGGCCCCUUUGAGACUACCCAAGGUAACCACCGCCUCGCAAACCGAUGCACGGGCAGGAGUGAGCGCGGCGUCUCGUUGCUGAAACAGCUGCCUGUUUGUGUGUAAAACUGCAGUGCCAUCCCAUAGCGUUACAUGGCGGCGGCGUGACCUUUAGCAGUCUAUAAAUCAGCGUUGUCGGCUUUUCCACUUUUGCCGUGAGCCUG
rnacentral:lncRNA from 1 species